rnacentral:lncRNA from 1 species
UUUAGAACUAGAGACAUGAUCGUUGCAAAUUUGGGUGCCAAACCAUUGGUGAUUCAGUUGCCGAUUGGUUCGGAGGACAAUUUCCAAGGAGUUGUUGAUCUAGUAAGAAUGAAAGCUAUUGUAUGGACAGGGGAGGAGCUGGGUGCAAAAUUUGAAUACAAAGACAUACCUGCUGAUCUCCAAGAGAUGGCUCAAGACUAUCGUGUUCAAAUGCUGGAAACUAUUAUUGAAUUGGAUGAUGAAGUUAUGGAGAAAUAUCUUGAAGGAACUGAACCAGACGAGGAAACUGUUAAGAAACUAAUCAGAAAGGGAGCAAUUUCUGCCAGCUUUGUCCCAGUUUUAUGUGGUUCGGCAUUCAAAAACAAGGGUGUCCAACCAUUGCUUGAUGCUGUUGUCGAUUACUUGCCAUCUCCACUUGAUCUACCUUCAAU